GUAGUAGUGAUUUAUUCCAGAUAAACUGAGCAGACUACUUGAUUAGCAGAUGGCCCACUGUGCUAAGAUUGGGGAACUUGAUUACAAGCUUUCAGGCAUCCUUGAGAAUUUCCAGGAAAAGCUCACAGACUUACCCAUAACCCAGAGGCAACUCUAAGAAAGGAAUGCUCAUGUCCAGAGGGAUUCUCUUACUUGGAUGCAUUGCGUGGUAGAACAGCCUUCCCAGCUUCAACGUGCAGUGUGAACUCCAAUGACUGUCCUAUUACUGUGGCAUUUCUCCUCCAAGGGUGUGCAGCUGAAGACAACGAUGCCUUACAUUUGUAAUGCUAAAGCACAGAAGGCUGAGGCAAGAGGAUUCCCUGAGCUUCAUCGUGGGUGCAGAGCCUGUGCUGCACGGAGAGGCGGAGUCACUGCGUUCGGCCUAAUGUUGGCAGUGGGUAUCUACAUCUGUUUCCCUCAGUUUCUGGAUGGAGGCACUCUGCUGGUACUUAUGCCAUGCUCAGAAAGACAAACAGAAGUUAUUUUCAUGCACUUAGAAAAUUCAAGUCUCAGGAACAUUGUAGGUAUCGAGAGCCUUUUUUUUUUGUUUUGUUUUGUUUUUUUUUACUGAUUCGGGUCAUGACCUGCUGGUGAAGAAAUCUAAGUCUCAUUGCUUCCUGAUCUUCCCACUGUUGCAAGCCAUCCAUACUAAAUAAAAUUCUCUACUGGGAAAACUGGCAAUUAUUCAGGAACACUGGAAAUUGGUUCUGAAUAGCACAGUGGCUUCAGAUUUCUUAGUUUCUGAAAAAUCGUUUUCUCAAAUAUGCUUUCCAUGCACCAAACAUUUCUCUGCUUCAAAGAGCUGUUUACACCUUUAGUCGAAUAAGCAAGUUGGUCAUAAUUAAUUCAAAUUAAAAUGUCUUCUCUCUCGACUCUGAAUAUUUUUUUAGCUGUGAUAUGACACUGUUUUUUAAUCUAAUGAAAAAUUACUUAAUAAA